UUCAUUUGUUCACACCUCCACU
rnacentral:siRNA from 1 species